rnacentral:rRNA from 1 species
GAUGACUUUUAUGCACAGAGUUCUGCUAUCUGGCGCCAGCUUGAUUCUCUCCGCAGUGCUGGUUGUCGUACUUGCCCCUGCUGCCAGGCUGUCCAGGCCAAUUUGGAGUUUCAUCGCGUCUACGAGUUCCUGUCUCGGCUCCGUAAGGAGUUUGAGCCCCGGCGUGCUCAGUUGUUUGCUCGUGGCCGUAUUUCUGUCAUGGAGGCACUUUCAGAGAUUCGUGCUGAGGAGACUCGCUUACGUGGUGCUGGUUUCCUGGAGGUUCCCUCUGUGCUCGCUACUCGGGCCUCUUCCACUCCACCUGCUGCACCGCCCCAUUCUCGCUCGAGUGCUCCGCCGCUCUUGCCCACUCCUUCUGGAGGCUCAGGUCGCCCCCGUCCACAUUGUGACUACUGCAACAAUGAUGGUCAUAUUGAGUCCCAGUGCUACACAAAGCGGAAACACCUGCGAAAGGCGCGAUCAUCCUCCUUAGGGACUUCGUCAUCUCCCUCGACAGCUUCAGCCAUUGCUUUGACUGAGCAGGAUAUUCUGAGACUUAAGCGUCUGCUCGCGGCUUCAGGUUCUUCCUCGACGGGUACU